UACAGAGGGGGCAAGCGUUGUUCGGAAUUACUGGGCGUAAAGGGCGCGUAGGCGGCCUUCUAAGUCGAACGUGAAAUCCCCGGGCUCAACCUGGGAACUGCAUCCAAAACUAGCAAGCUAGAGUAGGGCAGAGGGUGGUGGAAUUUCCUGUGUAGCGGUGAAAUGCGUAGAUAUAGGAAGGAACACCAGUGGCGAAAGGCGACCCACCUGGGCUCAUACUGACACUGAGGUGCGAAAGCGUGGGGAGCAAACAGGA
rnacentral:rRNA from 1 species